rnacentral:misc_RNA from 1 species
UCUGCGCUCACUGAAGGGUUAGAAGCAGGGGUAAGAAACCUGUUGACGCAUCGGUCCAUGCGGGGGUGACGGUGAGACACAGUGCGGAGGGCAUCACCGAAGCGACGAGUGCCGGACGUCCUCCCCUACUCACGCCUUGCUUGCGUCGGUGGGCUUUUCGGUACUCCCUAGCCAAACAUCACACGCACACAUACACCUACGCACACGCACCUGGGGGGGGGGGGGGGCGUCUUCCAGUGGGGCCUUCCACGCCUGUCGAGCUUGCCUCCUCUUGUGCUCUAUGCACUUGGCUGCUCCCUAGCUGCAGAGCCGCCGCCCUCCCGGCACACAAUAUCUGUAUAUAUAAAUACAUCUCCGUCUGCACACCUUGCGAUAACUCUUCAUCAUUUUAUCGUUCAUUGCGUCCGAUACGCGGAGCGCCCAACAGCCCACGCCCUUCCUCCUCUUCUUCACCUCAGAGACUCUCUUUUCACAGGCGGGAUGCUCUCACAGGCUCUCCUGUGCGCCGUCGAGCGAGACUUGGCCGUUGCGCGUCAGCUGGCGCACUUCCACGUCGACCUGUACGCCAGUGAAGGAGAUUCAGACGAAAGUGGGGACUUCAUAGGGCCGUUCCGCCACUAUCCACAGUUGUCGAGCGACUUACGCAGCAGUCAAGGAACACUUACCCGUGGCGUGCAUGCCUACGCUGUGCUUUCAAACCCGGUGCAGCGACCGCGUCAAGGCACCUGCGCGGUGCUGAUGGAGCUAUCUCGGCCCCUGGAGUGGCUUUCGCAGCACGGCCGUCAUCGCGGCCCAGGCGCAGGAGUCGGCGCAGCGGCUCGUGCGGGCACCGCAGCCACGACGUCGUCUGCUACGAGCAGACACGUCAAUCAUGCGAGUGCAGAAGGGCGUCUCGGCGUCGGUGGAGUUAGCAACCAGCGCGUUCCUACCGCAAACAGUAGUCGCGGCAAACUGGCGAGUGGCCCCGGUGCCUUGUCGGGCGCCCAUGUGGCCAGCCUCGCUUCCCACAGCAACGCCGGCAUGGACGCCGCCUCGCCCUCGGGCGCUUCAGGUCUACCGCUCCUCAUCGCCACCGCGGCUCUCGAAGUUGUCUUCCCGGCUCGCUAUCCAAGCGAGCCAUGUCAGUGGCAGCUGUUCGAGGAAGUCUCGUUCGGCGGUGUGGGCGAUCAUUCAACCUCCUCCUGGGCCGUCACCGCGGGUCAUCACCGCGGCAGCACCACCGGCGGAAGCAGCAGUGGCAGGUCCCAGCCUCAUCAGCUGCAUGGAAGCACGUCCAGGAGCCGCACCAGCUCCCCCGUGUGGUAUACCCGCAGCGGGGCGGGGGACGGGGCAUGCGGCACGGCCGGUCCGCCCGACAGCUCCUUCCCUUUCAGUGAUCACGGCAGGGCGGACGGCACCGCCUCGAGGGUGGCCGACACGGCAACGCCAACGCUCACCGCAUUCGUCGUGUCCGAUGUGGGGCGCCGUCUCUUACGAUGGAUUGCCGAGGCGCGCGCCGGCACGGGCGAUUCGUUCAUCCUGUCCUCCCCUUCUCUGGUGUCGAUGAUGGCGAGCAAUGCGACUGCGAAUGUGCGUGGUGGCCAGGAGCACCAGUACGGCAGCGGCAUCAACAAAACAUAUCCUUUUCUGCUUGAUUUUGCAAUGCUGCUGCGCUACUGGAGUGCCGUGGAGCUCGACGUGCACCACCUUAUCCUCCCCUCUCGGAUUGCGAUGGCCUACGGCGGUGGCAGCGCCCGCGUGCCGCCAGUCAUGACGAGCAUGCACCUUAGUGGCGGCGGUGGCGCUGCUGUCGCGGCGGCGGCAGCGACCGCCGUUGGUGUCUCAGCCCCUGUGGCUGGCGGUUCCCUGCCAGGAUCGGCCGCAGCUGCCGCGGCAGCGUCGAGCAAGAUGGUGGGCACCAGCGUGGCAGCGAGCAGCCCUUCCGCGCAAUCAACGGCAGCAUCGACUAGCGCGUCUGCCGCUAUUGGGGGCGGUGCUCUGUAUGGUGGAGCGACAUCCUCGACUGCGUCAGUCCCCGCACCGGCGCCGGGGGCGGCGGCUGCGACUGGUGGUGGUGUGAGCAGCGGUGUCGUGGCAACCGGUGCAGGCGCCGGAGUCUCAGUUCUCUACCCCUCUCGCCGGCGCCCUGCCAAGAGCUUCAUGGCGGUGCUCCUGCCACAGGGUGACGUGGCGGUGUUGGGCACGCCGAUGCCGGCGCGUCGCGCGCGCCAUGGGGUGAGUACCACUACCGCCGGCAGCAACGGCGAUGGGUCCGGCGCGACGGCACUGCGGCCUCCGUUUCGUCGAUUGCCGUUGUGCCUACGACACAUCUACGCGGGGCCUCAGGAUGCCGAUGGGACUGAAAAGAUGCGCGCUGGCACGGUGGUGAGCUGCACGUCGCAGUUUGAACUGGGCAAGGCAUUGCCCAGCUAUGUGCUUCCUGCCCACGUGCUGGGCACCAUGUACAAGUGCGGGUGGGACAGCGUGCGCUUGUUCAGCGGCAAGACAGCUAACGCGACGCUACACGCGAACGCGAAACUGGCGAAGGCGCUGCGGCUUCCAGAUGUGAGCGACCUCUUGCAGGUCCUCCGACGGCUCGCCAAGAACGUCGGCACGCCGUCCACGGGGGUGUUGUACGUGGGCGUGGUGCUCUGGCCUGCGCUGAUGGAGACGGUGCGCGCACUGCGAGAUAGGCGGCUUCCGUUUUGGGCCGGGUUAGCGGUGUGCUCGCUGCUGCUCCCGGGCGUGCUGCAGCAGGUUGACAGUGGGCGGCAAGCGGAGCCCGGCAGCGGUGGACGAAGCGGCCGCGGUCGCGUCCCCGUCAGCAUCCUGCCCGCAGACAGCGACCAGCCGGCGGUGGGAGGUAAUCCACCCUCGCAGUUGCGUCGCCGGCACUUGGCUGAAUUGAUCGAGGUGGUUAGCUUCACAGAGCGGGUGCUGGCUGUCGCGCAAGAGCACACGUUGCUGUGCGAGGUUCGGCUCGUGCGGUUUUCGCUCCAGCGCCUGCUGCCACUCUUGCAGAGGGGUGAGGUCUGCGGGCACCACCGCGCCAGCGCCGCAGAUGACCGCAUCGCAACCGCGGCGCAUACCUGCCUCAUUCAUAGCGACCCUUCGAAAUGUACUGCUGCCUGUGCGCCAGCUGGCCUCCUCCCGUUAGCGCCGCUCGUGGCGUCCUCGGCGGAGAUGUGCCGUCGCGUGCAUGCCCCAAUCAGCGUCUGCGCCGUGUGCGGCCUGUCGCUGCUCCGCAACACCGUCACCCACGCAGACGUCAGUGGAAGCGGCAGCGCUACGGCGGCGUCAGCGCCGCUGACGGAGAUGCGACACCGCUCGCACGCCGCCGCCUCGGUGGAGAGGGAUUCAGACACGCUGCGGCGGAAAAAGGACAGGGAUGACGGUCGCCCUGUCGACGGCACGGCAAGCUCUAAAAGUGGUCCGGAAGCGACGCGCGCGACGCCGAGGACGUUGCGGGAGGAAGGCUGCCUCGUCGUUCAGUGCGCUCGCUGCGGGCACGGCGGGCACGUGGAGCACAUCAGCAGCUGGUGGAACGACCCCACAGUGCGGUGUUGCCCGAAGGGCUGUGACUGCAGGUGUGUCUACUAGCGUCUGGCGGUGAAAUCGGGUACGAGAGGAGGGGCGAAAGAGGGCACCUCUGGAAGCCACCGAAGGGCACAGACACACAAACAGAGGAGAGGGAGGGGACGAGUCUGCGCCGCCGUGUGCGCUUCGCGAGAGCCAUGCAAGACGCUUGCACAAGUGGCAAAGACGAACAGUGAAGAGACGUUAACGUUGGACUGACGGGCGAGAAAGAAGGUGAAGGGCGUUGUGCGGUGUACAGCUGCUGGUGGCGUGUGCCUAGUUGCGUGGACGGCAGCCCUUGACCGCUGCUCGGUGCACCCCUACUCCUUCAUCGGUCACUCUCCUGCGCACGCAUGAGCGCGGUCGUUUUGAAGGCUGUGAUGGGGAACGAGGGCGGAGCGCCGUGGAAAAAGGAUCUGCACGCCCUCGUUCGUAUGCCUGGAC